rnacentral:rRNA from 1 species
GACGAACGCUGGCGGCGUGCUUAACACAUGCAAGUCGAACGGAAAGGCCCUGCUUUUGUGGGGUGCUCGAGUGGCGAACGGGUGAGUAACACGUGAGUAACCUGCCCUUGACUUUGGGAUAACUUCAGGAAACUGGGGCUAAUACCGGAUAGGAGCUCCUGCUGCAUGGGGGGGGUUGGAAAGUUUCGGCGGUUGGGGAUGGACUCGCGGCUUAUCAGCUUGUUGGUGGGGUAGUGGCUUACCAAGGCUUUGACGGGUAGCCGGCCUGGGAGGGUGACCGGCCACAUUGGGCCUGCGAUACGGCCCAGACUCCUACGGGAGGCAGCAGUGGGGAAUAUUGCACAAUGGGCGGAAGCCUGAUGCAGCAACGCCGCGUGCGGGAUGACGGCCUUCGGGUUGUAAACCGCUUUCGCCUGUGACGAAGCGUGAGUGACGGUAAUGGGUAAAGAAGCACCGGCUAACUACGUG